AAGCAAUUUAUUAUAGAACUAGGUUAUAUAUCCUCCUGGUGUUAUCUAUGUCAACACCAAAAAAUAGAGAAUGCAACUCUCUUAAGCAUUGAAGUCCAACAGAAACAAACAAAAGAAACAAUGGGCAGCAUCCUUCACAUACAUGCUUGUAAUUUUGCUUAAAUUCAAUUUAGUAUCAAUUUAAAAUACAAUAUUUAGUAAAAUUCAUAUAUAAAAUAGUAGAAUCCACGUAUUUAUAUCCUGAAUCUUCCUCCUUUGCAGGAUUAUACUUUUUAUUUGAGCUUCUUAAUUAAUUAGCAGUCUCCGUACUGUUAUUGUUCAUCUAUCUGCGCUUUCCUGGUCCUCCGGGUAGUGAUGGACUUGGACAUGCAUCUAUGCAACUGUCGGGUUUUUGAAGUGGACGAGCAGAUGUUGGAAGCGCUGCCAUAACCAAAAUGAUGAGGACGGUAAGUAUGGCAAUGAAAAUCUUCAUACUCUUGCCCAUCUUAGUAGCUUUGAAAUUAAGGGAAAUGCAUAUAAUUAACAGGAG
rnacentral:misc_RNA from 1 species